AACGAACGCUGGCGGCGUGCUUAACACAUGCAAGUCGAACGAUGAAGCCGGAGCUUGCUCUGGUGAAUUAGUGGCGAACGGGUGAGUAACACGUGAGUAACCUGCCCUUGACUCUGGGAUAACUGCUAGAAAUGGUAGCUAAUACCGGAUACGACCCUCGGAGGCAUCUCCAGGGGGUGGAAAGAAUUUCGGUCAAGGAUGGACUCGCGGCCUAUCAGCUAGUUGGUGAGGUAACGGCUCACCAAGGCGAAGACGGGUAGCCGACCUGAGAGGGUGAGCGGCCACACUGGGACGGAGACACGGCCCAGACUCCGACGGGAGGCAGCAGUAGGGAAUCGUGCGCAAUGGACGCAAGUCUGACGGAGCAACGCCGCGUGAGUGAUGAAGGCUUUCGGGUUGUAAACCUCUUUCAGCACCGACGAAGCGCAAGUGACGGUAGGUGCAGAAGAAGGACCGGCCAACUACGUGCCAGCAGCCGCAGUAA
rnacentral:rRNA from 1 species